rnacentral:rRNA from 1 species
UACGAAGGGGGCUAGCGUUGCUCGGAAUCACUGGGCGUAAAGGGUGCGUAGGUGGUGGGGUAAGUCGGAUGUGAAAUCCCGGGGCUCAACCCCGGAACUGCAUUCGAGACUGCCUUGCUCGAGUACUGGAGAGGAGACUGGAAUUUACGGUGUAGCAGUGAAAUGCGUAGAUAUCAUAAGGAAGACCAGUGGCGAAGGCGGGUCUCUGGACAGUUCCUGACGCUGAGGCACGAAGGUCAGGGGAGCAAACGGG